GCUGAGCCCCACAUCUAUGGGGUCUGACCCACAUCUGUGAGGUCUGCCCCACAUCUAUGGGGUCUGUGACCCACAUCUAUGGGGUCUGACCCACAUCUAUGGGGUCUGACCCACACCUAUGGGGUCUGACCCACAUCUAUGAGGUCUGCCCCACAUCUAUGGGGUCUGACCCACAUCUAUGGGGUCUCUGCCCCACAUCUAUAGGGUCUGACCCACAUCUAUAGGGUCUGACCCACACCUAUAGGGUCUGACCCACAUCUAUGGGGUCUGACCCACAUCUAUGGGGUCUCUGCCCCACAUCUAUAGGGUCUGACCCACAUCUAUAGGGUCUGACCCACAUCUAUGGGGUCUGACACACAUCUAUGAGGUCUGCCCCACACCUAUGCACCUAUGAGGUCUGUGACCCACAUCUAUGGGGUCUGACCCACAUCUAUGGGGUCUGUGACCCACAUCUAUGGGGUCUGACCCACAUCUAUGGGGUCUGUGACCCACAUCUAUAGGUUCUGACCCACAUCUAUAGGGUCUGCCCCACAUCUAUGGGGUCUGUGACCCACAUCUAUGGGUCUGCCCCAUAUCUAUGGGUCUGACCCACAUCUAUAGGGUCUGACCCACAUUUGUGGGGUCUCUGCCCACAUCUAUGGGUCUGCCCCAUAUCUAUAGGGCUGAGCCCCACUUAUGGGUCUCUGCCCCACACUUAUGGGGCUGCCCCCCCCCCCCCCCCCAGGUUCGUCACGUGGCCGCGGCGUCGCUCCUUUGGGCCUCGGGUCGCCAUGAGCUGCCACCGAAACUCCGGCUCCCAUUGGCUGGAAUGUUGGUGGGCGUGGCCUACGAGGGAUUCCUGAUUGGCUGGCUGUCCCAGUUCCUGUCGUUGGGUCCCUGGGGUUCUCUCGGUUUCCGCGCUUUGGGGGCCGCCAUCUUGGGGCUGGGGGCGCUCCGCCUCCUCGUCCCUCUACUGCCGCCCACGUGACUUCCGCCGGAAGUCCCGCCCCCAUCAUCAACACGGAAGUCUCGCGCCCCCCCUCACCACGGCGGAACCCGGAAGUCCCACCCCCCAGUCAACAACGUGAUGAUUGGAUGCCAACCGGAAGUCCCGCCCCUUCCCGGAAGUAAACCCCACCCCCAAAUAAAAGGCCUUUAAUGUUGACCCCGUAAGCGGUU
rnacentral:lncRNA from 1 species